AUCGCUUCUCGGCCUUUUGGCUCAGAUCAAGUGUAGUAUCUGUC
rnacentral:snRNA from 8 species